rnacentral:rRNA from 1 species
GAUGAACGCUGGCGGCGUGCCUAACACAUGCAAGUGGAGCGAAGAACCGGGGCGUUCCCCCGGGUAGAGCUGCGGACGGGUGAGUAAGAAGUGGGUGACUUGCCCCGCUGUAUGGGAGAGCUCGUCGAAAGAAGGGGUAAUACCGGCUGUGUCAUUUGGGGGAACGGAUGCUUCAGCCGUCGCAUCGGGAUGUGCCCGCGGCGCAUUAGCUAGUUGGUCGGGUAACGGCUUACCAUGGCGACGCUGCGUAGCUGGCCUGAGAGGAUGAUCGGCCACACUGGAACUGAGACACGGUCCAGACUCCUACGGGAGGCAGCAGUGGGGAAUCUUGCGCAAUGGGCGAAAGCCUGACGCAGCAACGCCGCGUGAGUGAAGAAGGCCUUCGGGUCGUAAACCGCUGUUAGUAGGGAAGAAGAAAUGUGCGAGAAUAUCUGCAUGUAGUGACGGUACCUAAAGAAGAAGCGACGGCUAACUACGUG